rnacentral:sRNA from 1 species
GCUUCUCGAACGUUUGUCUGUAGAUUAUGGAAAAAAGUCUAAACUUGGCUUCAUCAUUUAUCCUUCUCCUCAGGUAUCAACUGCAGUUGUUGAGCCUUACAACACUGUUCUUUCUAAUCACUCUCUUAUUGAGCACAGUGAUGUAGUUGUGCUCUUGGACAAUGAAGCAAUAUAUGAUAUAUGCAGAAGAUCACUAGAAUUAGAAAGACCAACUUACACCAACUUGAACCGUUUGAUAUCUCAAAUAAUAUCUUCCUUGACCACUUCCUUGAGAUUUGAUGGUGCAAUCAAUGUGGACAUUUCAGAGUUCCAAACCAACCUUGUGCCUUAUCCACGAAUUCAUUUCAUGCUCUCAUCUUAUGCCCCAGUUAUAUCUUCUGCCAAGGCCUUCCAUGAGCAGCUAUCAGUGCCUGAGAUCACCAGAGCUGUGUUUGAGCCAACAAGCAUGAUGGUCAAGUGUGAUCCAAGACAUGGAAAGUACAUGGCAUGUUGCCUCAUGUACCGUGGGGAUAUUGUACCAAAAGAUGUAAACCUUGCUGUCUCAAAUAUCAAGACAAAGAGACAAGUUC